CGUACACUCCUACGGGAGGCAGCAGUGGGGAAUAUUGCACAAUGGGCGCAAGCCUGAUGCAGCCAUGCCGCGUGUAUGAAGAUGGCCUUCGGGUUGUAAAGUACUUUCAGCGGGGAGGAAGGCAAUACGGUUAAUAACCGUGUUGAUUGACGUUACCCGCAGAAGAAGCACCGGCUAACUCCGUGCCAGCAGCCGCGGUAAUACGGAGGGUGCAAGCGUUAAUCGGAAUUACUGGGCGUAAAGCGCACGCAGGCGGUCUGUCAAGUCGGAUGUGAAAUCCCCGGGCUCAACCUGGGAACUGCAUUCGAAACUGGCAGGCUUGAGUCUUGUAGAGGGGGGUAGAAUUCCAGGUGUAGCGGUGAAAUGCGUAGAGAUCUGGAGGAAUACCGGUGGCGAAGGCGGCCCCCUGGACAAAGACUGACGCUCAGGUGCGAAAGCGUGGGGAGCAAACAGGAUUAGAUACCCUAGUAGUCCC
rnacentral:rRNA from 1 species